UACGUAGGGUGCAAGCGUUAAUCGGAAUUACUGGGCGUAAAGCGUGCGCAGGCGGCUUUGCAAGACAGAUGUGAAAUCCCCGGGCUUAACCUGGGAACUGCAUUUGUGACUGCAUGGCUGGAGUGCGGCAGAGGGGGAUGGAAUUCCGCGUGUAGCAGUGAAAUGCGUAGAUAUGCGGAGGAACACCGAUGGCGAAGGCAAUCCCCUGGGCCUGCACUGACGCUGAGGCACGAAGGCCAGGGGAGCAAACGGG
rnacentral:rRNA from 1 species